CCUCCCGUUCAAAAUUUAUAUUUCUUUUUUCUUUUUUCUUCCAGCCGUCGCUCAACAUCCCUACCCACCGCCGCCGCCGCCGAUAACCAACACUCCCAACUCCCAAACCUCCUUCGAAUCGGUCUCAGCUCACAAGAAAUUUCCGUCGUUGUUCCAUCUGUUCCAUAUCCCAUAACCAUCAAAUUAUCAUCCGAUACGAAAUUUCCAAUCAAAUCCAUCUUUUGUCAAACGGACUUAUUUGCAGAUUGAAUUUGAAUCAUCAAAGCAAAUGGCGUUAACAAACUUGAUAUUGACGGUGGCAGGAGUCAGUGCUGUGAUUUUAUUGAUGAGGAGCGAUGUAAAACAAUCUGCCUCUAUUUUCAAACGCAACGUUCGUCAAAUUCGCCACUGGCUCGAAGAAGAAUCCGCUUCUGCAGCUAAGGAAAUGGAGAAGGCAAAACCCAAGGAAUUACCUAAGAAAGAUACCCCCAAGGGUGAUUAGAGAUGAAUGAUAUCAAAUGAUGGUAUUGGUAUUAAGAAAGUAUGACCCACCUAAUAAAAUUAGAAUGAUUUUCUUGUAUUAAGAAAGUUUUUUUAGCUCAAUUUGUGGAAGUGAAGCAUAUCAAUCAAUCAUUUUUAUAUUAUUUGUCUUCAUAAACACAUUUACAUAUUUUUGCAUGUGUUUGUGGCUAUAUCUAUAAAAGAGUGUCCUUUUGCUUGUUAA